CACGCCGUGUCUAAACGGCUGUGUUGAACAAUAUAUGUAUCUUGCGAUUCUCCGUGUGACGUGGUUCCCUGAUGCGGUUUUGUUUUGUGAUUCCCUGACGUUGUUCCUUCACACACGCAGGUGCACGACAGAGCCAGUUGUGUGUGGUGUGCGCGGGGGAUUCUUCUUCCACCCCAGCAAUCUGGUCCAUCCCGUUUCUGUGGCAAAGGAGAUGCUGCCCCUGUGGACCUCCAGAUUGCUCUGGCCACCAACUUAUCUAGUGUUAAAGGGUUGCAAGCGAACCUUUCAGAAAUGAUAUUUAGAUUCUAGAACGGACCGAGGAACCAAGUGAACUUGAUGACUACUAUGUGAUUCCCGAGCCAGGGUUUGAGUAGCUACUGUUCUACCAAGUGAGGAUGAUGUUACGGUCGAUGAUGGCAAGAUCAGCGCCUUGGCAUACGACACCGCGUCGGUCGCUCUUGUUCAAGUGAGCAGUAGUGGGAUUCGUCUUCCAAUCCGGCAAUCUGGUAAAGCCACUGGUAGUGGUUACCUCCCUGCUCUACUCUACUCCACUUUUAUCCCAGCCAUAGCAGCAGUUGGAGCAUGUUAGCCAAUUAAGGCAGCGUGAGCAUGAGGAGAGCGAGCAGGAGAAGGAGAAGGAGGCAGGGCACCUACGGUCGGCUCCUUCUCCAGAACCACGCGGCGGGAAAGGAGGUUAGAGGACUUUUUCUUCUUGGGACGCCGCAUCCAUGGAGCUCCGACCCCAUUGCCACUGCCAUACAUGGAGCUCUGGCCCAUGGCCAACAGCUCAAGUGUUUUCCUCGCACACGUUGGUGCGACACAGAGCAACCGUGGGGAUUCCUUCCACUACGACGUCUCCUGGUUUCUCCUCCGGUGCCCCCGUUCUUCUUCCACUUCAGCAAGUGGUGCACGACAGAGCCAGUUGUGUUUGGUGUGCGCAGGUUGGAUUCUUCUUCCACUCCGGAAAUCUGGUCUAUCCUGUUUCCAUGGCAAAGGAGAUGGUGCCCUUUGUGGAAACCGCUGACGCACGUGUUGCUCUCCAGAGAUUGCGAAGGCGACCAGUGGUUCUAGUGCUAAAGGGUUGCAACCAAACCUUUCAGAAAUGAUAUAUAGAUUCUAGAACGGACCGAGGAACCAUGUGAACUCGACCACUACUGUGUGAUUCCCGAGACAGAGUUCGAGCAGCUACUGGUCGACCAAGUGAGGAUGAUGUUGCGGUCGAUGAUGGCAGGAUCAGCGUCUUGGGAUACGGCACCACGUCAGUCGCUCUUGUUCCACGUCUUGAUGACGGUGACAGCCUCAAGUUUCCCACCACGCUCUGGUCGAUUCUCGAUAACAAGCUCCCAGACGGCUCCUGGGGAGACGCUGCCCUGUUCCCCGCCUAUGACCGGGUCACCAACACCCUUACCUGUGUCGUGGCUCUCAUAAAGUGGUCUCUUGGCCAUGGUAAAUGCAGGAGAGGAUUGCAAAUGUAGCUUGUCUCCGACGAUGGGGCCGAGAACCGCAGGCUACGUACCCUAUGCAUCGCUGCUUUGACUGACCUAUCUCCCUGCGUCGGCAACCGCUUCUCUGAUGGAUGGGUUCAUCACAGGGACUCGUCAUGGCGCGCUUCAUCAACACUAAGAGGAGACCCCUUCAUCUUCAUGGCCGGCCCUCAAGCAAAGCAAAGGGAGGGGAUCGAAAUCGUCCAUGGACGGACGCGCUGAUGGGGACCUGAUGGAGACAGAGAAGGACCACGAGGAGGUGGCGUGGGUCGACCCUGGCGGUUGGCUCCUCCUCCAGAACCACGUGGUAGGAGAGGAGGCACAAGGACUGCUUCUUCUCAGGAUGCCGCAUCCAGGGAGCUCCGACCCUACCGCCGCUGUCAUCCAUGGAGCUCUGACCCAUGGCCAAGAACUCAAGGUAGGUUCAGACAUAGAGCCACUGUGGGGAUUCCUUCCAGUCCGACGCCACUUGGCUUUUGCUCCGGUGCCCCC